rnacentral:rRNA from 1 species
UAGGGAAUCUUCCGCAAUGGACGAAAGUCUGACGGAGCAACGCCGCGUGAGUGAUGAAGGUUUUCGGAUCGUAAAGCUCUGUUGUUAGGGAAGAACAAGUGCCGUUCAAAUAGGGCGGCACCUUGACGGUACCUAACCAGAAAGCCACGGCUAACUACGUGCCAGCAGCCGCGGUAAUACGUAGGUGGCAAGCGUUGUCCGGAAUUAUUGGGCGUAAAGGGCUCGCAGGCGGUUUCUUAAGUCUGAUGUGAAAGCCCCCGGCUCAACCGGGGAGGGUCAUUGGAAACUGGGGAACUUGAGUGCAGAAGAGGAGAGUGGAAUUCCACGUGUAGCGGUGAAAUGCGUAGAGAUGUGGAGGAACACCAGUGGCGAAGGCGACUCUCUGGUCUGUAACUGACGCUGAGGAGCGAAAGCGUGGGAGCGAACA